AGCCGCCGCGGUAAUACGGAGGAUCCAAGCGUUAUCCGGAUUCAUUGGGUUUAAAGGGUCCGUAGGCGGAUUUUUAAGUCAGUGGUGAAAGCCGACAGCUCAACUGUCGAACUGCCAUUGAUACUGGAGAUCUUGAGUACAAAUGAAGUAGGCGGAAUGAGUCAUGUAGCGGUGAAAUGCAUAGAUAUGACUCAGAACACCAAUUGCGAAGGCAGCUUACUAACAUGUAACUGACGCUGAGGGACGAAAGCGUGGGGAGCGAACAGGAUUAGAUACCCUGGUAGUCCACGCCGUAAACGAUCAUCACUCGCUGUUGGCGAUAUACAGUCAGCGGCCAAGCGAAAGUAUUAAGUGAUGCACCUGGGGAGUACGCCGGCAACGGUGAAACUCAAAGGAAUUGACGGGGGCCCGCACAAGCGGUGGAGCAUGUGGUUUAAUUCGAUGAUACGCGAGGAACCUUACCAGGGCUUAAAUGUAGUUCGACCGGUCUGGAAACAGACUUUCUCUUCGGAGCAGAUUACAAGGUGCUGCAUGGUUGUCGUCAGCUCGUGCCGUGAGGUGUUAGGUUAAGUCCUGCAACGAGCGCAACCCCUAUUCUUAGUUGCCAGCGGUUCGGCCGGGGACUCUAAGAAGACUGCCAGCGCAAGCUGAGAGGAAGGUGGGGAUGACGUCAAAUCAUCACGGCCCUUACGUCCUGGGCUACACACGUGCUACAAUGGUAGAGACAGAGGGCAGCCACCUGGUGACAGGGAGCGAAUCCUUAAACUCUAUCUCAGUUCGGAUCGAAGUCUGCAACUCGACUUCGUGAAGCUGGAAUCGCUAGUAAUCGCGCAUCAGCCAUGGCGCGGUGAAUACGUUCCCGGGCCUUGUACACACCGCCCGUCAAGCCAUGGAAGCUGGGGGUACCUGAAGUCGGUAACCGUAAGGAGCUGCCUAGGGUAAAACUAGUAACUAGGGCUAAGUCGUAACAAGGUAACCG
rnacentral:rRNA from 1 species